CUCUAAUACAAUUUGAGAUUAUAUAUUUCAAGGAAUGUAUACGGUAAAAGUAUUAGUAUUAAAGAAACUUAUUCCUUCCUAAUUAAGGUAAAAAUAAAAUAGAAAAAUAGGUAUUAGUAGAAAAUUCGAAUAUACUUAUUUUU
rnacentral:ncRNA from 12 species